GACGAACGCUGGCGGCGUGCUUAACACAUGCAAGUCGGGCGGUAAGGCUCCUUCGGGGAGUACACGAGCGGCGAACGGGUGAGUAACACGUGAGCAAUCUGCCCUUCACUUUGGGACUAACCCCGGGAACCGGGGACUAAUACCGAAUGCGACCACCGAUGGCAUCGUCUGGUGGUGGAAAGUUCCGGCGGUGAAGGAUGAGCUCGCGGCCUAUCAGCUUGUUGGGUGGGGUAACCGGCCCACCAAGGCAUUGACGGGUAGCCGGCCUGAGAGGGUGACCGGCCACACUGGGAC
rnacentral:rRNA from 1 species